rnacentral:rRNA from 1 species
CUUGACAUCCAGCGAACUUGGCAGAGAUGCCUUGGUGCCUUCGGGAACGCUGAGACAGGUGCUGCAUGGCUGUCGUCAGCUCGUGUUGUGAAAUGUUGGGUUAAGUCCGCAACGAGCGCAACCCUUAUCCUUUGUUGCCAGCGAUUCGGUCGGGAACUCAAAGGAGACUGCCGGUGAUAAACCGGAGGAAGGUGGGGAUGACGUCAAGUCAUCAUGGCCCUUACGAGUAGGGCUACACACGUGCUACAAUGGCGUAUACAAAGAGAAGCGACCUCGCGAGAGCAAGCGGACCUCAUAAAGUGCGUCGUAGUCCGGAUCGGAGUCUGCAACUCGACUCCGUGAAGUCGGAAUCGCUAGUAAUCGUGGAUCAGAAUGCCACGGUGAAUACGUUCCCGGGCCUUGUACACACCGCCCGUCACACCAUGGGAGUGGGUUGCAAAAGAAGUAGGUAGCUUAACCUCCGGGAGGGCGCUUACCACUUUGUGAUUCAUGACUGGGGUGAAGUCGUAACAAGGUAAGCGUAGCGAG